UCCCAAAUGUACCCAAAAUUGGACAAUAAGAGUUAUCAAUGGAGGUGUUUUAUGGAGCACUGAAACCCCCCUAAAACAUCCCAAAUGUACCCAAAAUUGGACAAUAAGAGUUAUCAAUGGAGGUGUUUCUGCUCCAGGUUAUCAAUGGAGGUGUUUCUGCUCCGGGUUAUCAAUGGAGGUGUUUCUGCUCCGGGUUAUCAAUGGAGGUGUUUCUGCUCCGGGUUAUCAAUGGAGGUGUUUCUACUCCGGGUUAUCAAUGGAGGUGUUUCUGCUCCAGCCCCCCGCACCAACCCCAGGCUGAGCACAGCCCGGUGCCACCCCAGAAAUCCCAUUAUUCCCAUUUUCCCCCCCAUUUUCUCCCAGGAGAGGAAGGCGUUCCUGCGCGGCCCGAGGGAACGCUGCUGUGCUGCAGGGAGCAGCUCGGUGCCAGGCACUCACACGUGUCACCAGAGGUCACCUUGUCCCCUCCCUCCCCAAAGCCAGGCGCGGAUCCCAGCCCAGCCAUGGGGAGCAGAGGGGCAGAACCCCCCAAAUCCCCAAUUCCCACUGGGAAUUCCCUGCCAGGCCAGCACCUACCAGCGCUGGGGAGCCGAGGAGAGCCACGGGAGCCUGCAUUGUGCUGGAUCUGCAACGGGGAAAACACAGAAAUUGUAAAUAAAUUUAAACAAAAAGAACGGGAUCGCGGCCAGGCCACCCCAGCGGGGUCACACGCUGAGCUCCUCACGGGGCACU
rnacentral:lncRNA from 1 species